AGAGUUUGAUCCUGGCUCAGAUUGAACGCUAGCGGGAUGCUUUACACAUGCAAGUCGAACGGCAGCGCGAGAGAGCUUGCUCUCUUGGCGGCGAGUGGCGGACGGGUGAGUAAUAUAUCGGAACGUGCCCAGUAGCGGGGGAUAACUACUCGAAAGAGUGGCUAAUACCGCAUACGCCCUACGGGGGAAAGGGGGGGAUCGCAAGACCUCUCACUAUUGGAGCGGCCGAUAUCGGAUUAGCUAGUUGGUGGGGUAAAGGCUCACCAAGGCAACGAUCCGUAGCUGGUUUGAGAGGACGACCAGCCACACUGGGACUGAGACACGGCCCAGACUCCUACGGGAGGCAGCAGUGGGGAAUUUUGGACAAUGGGGGAAACCCUGAUCCAGCCAUCCCGCGUGUAUGAUGAAGGCCUUCGGGUUGUAAAGUACUUUUGGCAGAGAAGAAAAGGUACCUCCUAAUACGAGGUACUGCUGACGGUAUCUGCAGAAUAAGCACCGGCUAACUACGUGCCAGCAGCCGCGGUAAUACGUAGGGUGCAAGCGUUAAUCGGAAUUACUGGGCGUAAAGCGUGUGUAGGCGGUUCGGAAAGAAAGAUGUGAAAUCCCAGGGCUCAACCUUGGAACUGCAUUUUUAACUGCCGAGCUAGAGUAUGUCAGAGGGGGGUAGAAUUCCACGUGUAGCAGUGAAAUGCGUAGAUAUGUGGAGGAAUACCGAUGGCGAAGGCAGCCCCCUGGGAUAAUACUGACGCUCAGACACGAAAGCGUGGGGAGCAAACAGGAUUAGAUACCCUGGUAGUCCACGCCCUAAACGAUGUCAACUAGCUGUUGGGGCCGUUAGGCCUUAGUAGCGCAGCUAACGCGUGAAGUUGACCGCCUGGGGAGUACGGUCGCAAGAUUAAAACUCAAAGGAAUUGACGGGGACCCGCACAAGCGGUGGAUGAUGUGGAUUAAUUCGAUGCAACGCGAAAAACCUUACCUACCCUUGACAUGUCUGGAAAGCCGAAGAGAUUUGGCCGUGCUCGCAAGAGAACCGGAACACAGGUGCUGCAUGGCUGUCGUCAGCUCGUGUCGUGAGAUGUUGGGUUAAGUCCCGCAACGAGCGCAACCCUUGUCAUUAGUUGCUACGCAAGAGCACUCUAAUGAGACUGCCGGUGACAAACCGGAGGAAGGUGGGGAUGACGUCAAGUCCUCAUGGCCCUUAUGGGUAGGGCUUCACACGUCAUACAAUGGUCGGGACAGAGGGUCGCCAACCCGCGAGGGGGAGCCAAUCUCAGAAACCCGAUCGUAGUCCGGAUCGCAGUCUGCAACUCGACUGCGUGAAGUCGGAAUCGCUAGUAAUCGCGGAUCAGAAUGUCGCGGUGAAUACGUUCCCGGGUCUUGUACACACCGCCCGUCACACCAUGGGAGUGGGUUUCACCAGAAGUAGGUAGCCUAACCGUAAGGAGGGCGCUUACCACGGUGGGAUUCAUGACUGGGGUGAAGUCGUAACAAGGUAGCCGUAUCGGAAGGUGCGGCUG
rnacentral:rRNA from 2 species